rnacentral:sRNA from 1 species
GCUGAGAGCAGUGGCACAUUCCUAUAAUCCCAGCUACUGGGAGGCUGAGGCAGGAGGAUUGCAAGUUUGAGGCCAGCCUGGGCAACUUGGCUAGACCCUGUCUCAA